rnacentral:rRNA from 1 species
UGACGAUGGACAUUGCAAAGAGCGGCGAACGGGUGAGUAACACGUGGGAAACCUACCUCUUAGCAGGGGUAACAUUUGGAAACAGAUGCUAAUACCGUAUAACAAUGACAACCGCAUGGUUGUUAUUUAAAAGAUGGUUCUGCUAUCACUAAGAGAUGGUCCCGCGGUGCAUUAGUUAGUUGGUGAGGUAAAGGCUCACCAAGACCGUGAUGCAUAGCCGAGUUGAGAGACUGAUCGGCCACAUUGGGACUGAGACACGGCCCAAACUCC